ensembl:misc_RNA Metazoa_SRP Metazoan signal recognition particle RNA
UGCUUGAGCCCAGGAUUUCUGGGCUGUAGCACGCUAUGCCAAUCAAGUGUCCGCACUAAGUUCAGCAUCAAUAUGGUGACCUCCCGGGAGUGAGGGACCACCAGGUUGUCUAAGGAGGGGUGAACUGGCCCAGGUCAGAAACGGAGCAGGUCAAAACUCCCACGCCGGUGAGUAGUGGGACUGCGCCUCUGAAUAACCAUUGCCCUCCAGCCGGAGCAACUUAGCA